AUGCUCUGCGGGUGGCCGAAAUCUGGACGGAUGAGCACAAAUAUAUGGUCUACUUGGCCUGGAACAUACCUCUCCAGAAUGGCACUCCGGGAAAAGCUGAAGUGUCAAACUUUUGACUGGUACCUGAAAAAUGUUUACCCACUCUUGAAGCCAAUACACACCAUCAUAGGCUAUGGAACAAUGAAAAACCUAUUGGAUGAAAAUGUCUGCCUGGAUCAGGGAGCCAUUUCAGGCAACACCCUCAUCGUGUAUAACUGCCAUGGAUUCAGUUCACAGUACGUCUACUAUCACCUAACUGGGGAGUUCUACGUGGGACAACUGAUUGCAGAGGCCAGUGAUAGUGAUUGCUGCCUGACAGACCCUGGCAAGACAGGAGAAGCCCACCUUAGAACCAUGCUCCGAGGCAGCUACGAAUGGACUGCACAUAUCUUGGGAUUUUAAACAGGUGAGUUACAUGGAUUUUUUUCUUUCUUUUUUUUUUUUUUGAGAUGGAGUCUCAAUUUGUAGCCCAGGCUGGAGUGCAGUGGCUCACUGCAACCUCUGCCUCCUGGGUCCUGGUUCAAGCAAUUCUCCUGCCUCAGCCUGCCGAGUAGCUGGGAUUACAAGCACAUGGCACCAUGUGUUUGUAUGUUUAGUAGCGACUGGGUUUCACCAUGUUGGCCAGGCUGAUCUUGAACUCCUGACCUCGUGAUCCCCCUGCCUCGGCCUCCCAAAGUGCUGCGAUUACAGGCAUGAGUCCAGCAAGUUACGUUUUUUAAAGGACAGAUACAUGAGAGUUUCAGAUUUGAUUUGAUAGUGUUUUAGGAGAAUUACUUCUUGUGGCAACAUGUAGGGAAAAGAUUGGAAACAGGAAACUGGGUAUGAAACACUGAGUCUCUUGACUAAGGCCGGGGUGGUUAAGGAGAAGAAAUAUUGGAAUCUGUUGUAGUGGAACAGUUGAGAGUUUGGGCCCACGUCCUAGCUCAGUCACCUAGCAAGUUCCUUACCCUCUCUGAAGCUCAGUUUCCUCAUUAUAAAAUGAUGGAGAUAAUAUCUUCUGUAGGCCAGUGUUGAGAGGAUUAAAUGAUAUCGCGUGUGUAAAGUAUUUAGUGUGCUGCCUGGAGCAGAGGAGUGUUCAAUAUGCAUUAGCAUUAGCCAUUGCGAUCCACUUAUUAUUAAUAAUUAUCAGAGGGUGGGAACACUAGGCUGAAAUCUGACAGGGGCUAAUGUGGGAGCUCUGCCUUUAACUUCAACAUCAAAUGACCAAAGACAGGGUGGAAGGAAUCUGGCAGAUGUACAUGAUGGUGACGCAAGGGUCUUGGCCGACUGCAGUCUAUGGGGAAUUGACAAUGGAUGGGGUUGCUCCAAAAGCUUCUGCACUCUUAGGCCAAUUCCGUAGGAAGGGGCAGUACCUCCUGGAGGGAGCUACUGGUCUGUCUGUGACCGUGUCUCUGAAUGCGGGACUGUGCUUUGUUCAAGUGCCAUAUGGGCAAUCUAGUUCAGCAGUCUCUAACUUCUCAAAGCUAACGCCCCCUUUGAGAAUUCGCUGUGAGCUAUGGACUCUCUCUCCAGGAAAACCUACAUGUGAACCUAUGUGCAAGAUUUGCUUACAGUUUCAGAGUUUUUUUUGUUUUUUUUUUUUUGCAUCCCAGAUUAAGCUUUCCUGAACUAGACAAUAUUGAUUAGAAGAAGGGGGGUAAUGUCUUCUCAGUCUCUGAUGUCUCACUUUAAGCUCCAAUUAUAUGGAACUAUAGGUAAUUCAGUGAAAGUCAAGGCUCCCUCUUAUCUUAGACCUUUCUGCAGGUAUUAUUCCCUCUCCUCCCACUUCUUCACCAGGCCAACUACAAAGUGCUCCCCUGGCCUUAGACAUCAUCUCCCUUGGGAAGCCUUCUGUGACCCUAGAGGAGUCGGGCAGGUGGUUCCUCUAUGUGCUCUCAGGGGCCCUUUUAUAGCCCUAGUCUCACCAUCUCUUGCAAUUGUCAGCUCACUUGCUUCUUUUCAUCAUUUGGCUGUGAGCUAGAGGGCAGGGCCUGGGGUUUUCUUUUUUUUUUUUUUUCUAGCAUCUGGAACAACCCCUAGAACAUGGCAGGCACUCGACAAAUGGUUGCAGAGCAAAUGAAAGAUUGGCAGGCCUGGAGAUAUAGCUUGAAAGGCUUGUUAGGCCUGUGGAUAGAGAAAAGAUGAUGCUGUCUUCCUGAGGAAGAGGGAGUAGAUUAGUUUAGUGUCUCAGGAGGGCAGAACUGAGACCAACAGAUAAAGAUUAAGGUGGCAGAUUUUGACUUAUGUAGGAGCAAGGGGAGAGCUUACUAAAGGCCUCACAGCUUCAGGUUUCCUACAGAUGAAUAGGCUGCUUAGCAUGGUGGUGAGUUCCUCAUCAAUGGCAGUCACCAAGCACAGCAUGUCUGAGCACCUGGCAGGCCUCAUGUGCUAAAUAUGAGUUUUUGAUGUCCUUAGUCAUACUUUUUUGUUCAUGUGAAAAAAACUACUACAAAUUUACUUUGUUUUAAAAAAUUAGUAGUCAAUAAUUUUUUGUAAAGUUAUAAAUUCAAAAUUUAUGUUAUAAAUAAAAAUUAUAAGUUAUAAAUUUAAAAAUUCAGUGAGAUGUUUGUAAAGCAUUUAGCAUGGUACUCGGUGCAAAGGAGUGUUGCAAGAAUCAUGGUUUUUCUUUAAGGUUUUAAGUUCAGCUUACAAAUCUUAUUAUUUUAUCUAUAAGCCUGACAACUUUUGACAAGAAAGAGGAUUUUUAAAAUUUAAUAAAUUAAAUGCCAUUAUUUAAUCCAUUAAAUUUCUUUUCUUAAGAACUUCAGUGAUCUGACUUUAAGUUGAUCAAUUCUUAAGUUCUCUUAAAUGUUUUGGAAGUGUUUAUAAAGUCAGUAAAAAAUAUCACCAUCAAGUCACCAAUUUAAUUACUCAAUGACACAUUUUAAAAUUGCUAUUUCAAGAUUAAUCUGUAAGAUGCAAGUACUUAGAAAUAGUAAAUAUACACAGAAUCUUUGGCAAGUACUAUGUGUUUGAUUCCCUUAAUAUCUUUACUUUAUCCUAAAUCUCCUAUGAGUUAAAGAUACAAUGUAUUCUAAAGAAAUAAUAUUUUUAGAUACAAUUUUAUUCCCAUUUUUUCACAUUUUUUUUCCUGUUUUUUCUUUUCAUGAUAACAGGUUACUGUUAUUAAAUAAGUAACAUUUUGAAGGUUUCCUUGCCAAGAAAAUUUUGGAAGAUCGCCUUCUCAGCUGACUGAGGCUACUGAUAGCAAAGACAUGUGGGUUGGCAGAUAGGAUUGUGAGAUCUGGAAGGCAGGACAUCCAGGGAAAUUCUGCCAACCAUUCUAACAUGCAGGCUGGGUCCAUUUCUAUGGCCACUAUGUCAAGAACUACAAAAGUAAAAAGGGAGGUGAUCCUCUAAUUUCUGGUGUGUUACCUAAUAUUAAGUUAGUCUUGAAUGGGUUCACUCCAUCUGAUCUCUUCCCAUCCAUCUUACCUCUUAGGUCUACACUUCUUUCAGAUAUGAAAAUGAUACUUGAUUGAAUGUUGGGCUCUUCUGGUUCUCACUUUACUUUGUAGGCACAACUUACAAAUUAAUCUAAAACAUUACCAAAGGAAUUUUCAAAAAUUGAGAGGGAGAUGAGACUAGAUCAUCCCUUUGUUUUCUUUGAUUUCUUGAUUCUGUGUUUUGGGUACACCAGAGGAGGCUAUGGCCCCUGUGACUCAUAAGAGAGCCAGUGAUGGAGAGGGGACCCAGUUUAAGAGAAGGCCUACUCAGACAUAUGGACCUUAAGUUCCGUAGCACAGUGUUGAGAUAGUGAUGCCACUGAAAUAAGGGGGAAUUUGGGGAAGGUCAUCUGUCUUCAGGGUGAAGCAACAGCUCACAAUACAAAGAGGAUCUCUAAGAAUAGUAGUGAGAAGUAGUGAGGAGGAGGAGAGCACUGGUGGUGAGAGGUUGGAAGUGCGGGGAAAGAGGAAGUGUGGAGGGAGUGCUCCCACACACCGCUUGUAAGCAUGGAGACUGGCAUGGCUCCAGAAGCAACUUGCCCACGUGUAGGAAAACCCCACACUCCUCAGAACCCAAACUAACUACAGCUGUUUUUAAGGCACUAAUUCUUUUUUAGGACAGUAUCUUUACUUAAGGAAUAGUAUAGAAUAUAAGUCAGCAUUAAUGUGGAAAAUAUCUUAAUAAUUAUCACAGUGAAACACUAGGAAAAUUUAAAUGUCCAACAGUCGGGGAUGCUUUGCUCAUCUCUUGAACUGAAUAUUGUAGAGCCACUCAAAUAAUAUUCUGAAACAAUCUCUUUCAAAAAAUUAAUAAAACUGGAAAAGAUGUAUAUGGAAUAUUAAAUUUAUAUAAAGAAGCAAGAUGUAAAGACCACAUAUACAAUGUUGUCUUGUUAUGAGUGCUUUUAUAUACUUUAUAUAUAAAAUAUUUUAAAAUAUAUUUUUUAUAAAUAUACUUCUAGUCAAUCAUCCCCUC
rnacentral:lncRNA from 1 species